rnacentral:rRNA from 1 species
AUGCAAGUCGAACGCUUCUUUUUCCACCGGAGCUUGCUCCACCGGAAAAAGAGGAGUGGCGAACGGGUGAGUAACACGUGGGUAACCUGCCCAUCAGAAGGGGAUAACACUUGGAAACAGGUGCUAAUACCGUAUAACAAUCAAAACCGCAUGGUUUUGAUUUGAAAGGCGCUUUCGGGUGUCGCUGAUGGAUGGACCCGCGGUGCAUUAGCUAGUUGGUGAGGUAACGGCUCACCAAGGCCACGAUGCAUAGCCGACCUGAGAGGGUGAUCGGCCACAUUGGGACUGAGACACGGCCCAAACUCCUACGGGAGGCAGCAGUAGGGAAUCUUCGGCAAUGGACGAAAGUCUGACCGAGCAACGCCGCGUGAGUGAAGAAGGUUUUCGGAUCGUAAAACUCUGUUGUUAGAGAAGAACAAGGAUGAGAGUAACUGUUCAUCCCUUGACGGUAUCUAACCAGAAAGCCACGGCUAACUACGUGCCAGCAGCCGCGGUAAUACGUAGGUGGCAAGCGUUGUCCGGAUUUAUUGGGCGUAAAGCGAGCGCAGGCGGUUUCUUAAGUCUGAUGUGAAAGCCCCCGGCUCAACCGGGGAGGGUCAUUGGAAACUGGGAGACUUGAGUGCAGAAGAGGAGAGUGGAAUUCCAUGUGUAGCGGUGAAAUGCGUAGAUAUAUGGAGGAACACCAGUGGCGAAGGCGGCUCUCUGGUCUGUAACUGACGCUGAGGCUCGAAAGCGUGGGGAGCAACAGGAUUAGAUACCCUGGUAGUCCACGCCGUAAACGAUGAGUGCUAAGUGUUGGAGGGUUUCCGCCCUUCAGUGCUGCAGCUAACGCAUUAAGCACUCCGCCUGGGGAGUACGACCGCAAGGUUGAAACUCAAGGAAUUGACGGGGGCCCGCACAAGCGGUGGAGCAUGUGGUUU